GACGAACGCUGGCGGCGUGCUUAACACAUGCAAGUCGAACGGAAAGGCCCUGCUUUUGUGGGGUGCUCGAGUUGCGACCGGGUGAGUAACACUUGAGUAACCUGCCCUUGACUUUGGGAUAACUUCAUGAAACUGGGGCUAAUACCGCAUAGGAGCUCCUGCUGCAUGGUGGGGGUUGGAAAGUUUCGGCGGUUGGGGAUGGACUCGCGGCUUAUCAGCUUGUUGGUUGGGUAGUGUCUUACCAAGGCUUUGACGGGUAGCCGGCCUGAGAGGGUGACCGGCCAAAUUGGGACUGAGAUAAGGCCCAGACUCGUACGGGAGGCAGGAGUGGGGAAGAUUGCACAAUGGGCGGAAGCCUGAUGCAGCAACGCAGCGUGCGGGAUGACGGCCUGCGGGUUGUAAACCGAUUUCGCCUGUGACGAAGCGUGAGUGACGGUAAUGGGUAAAGAAGCACCGGCUAACUACGUG
rnacentral:rRNA from 1 species